rnacentral:rRNA from 1 species
UACCUGCAGCUCAAGUGGUGGCCAUUAUUAUUGGGCCUAAAACGUCCGUAGCCGGUUUAUUAAAUGCCUGGGUAAAUCGGGCCGCUUAACGGUUCGAAUUCCGGGUAGACUGAUAGACUUGGGACCGGGAGAAGCUAGAGGUACUCCUGGGGUAGAGGUGAAAUUCUGUAAUCCUAGGGGGACCACCAGUGGCGAAGGCGUCUAGCUAGAACGGGUCUGACGGUGAGGGACGAAGCCCUGGGGCGCAAACCGGAUUAGAUACCCGGGGUAGUCCAGGGUGUAAACGCUGCUUGCUUGAUGUUAGUCGGGCUCCGAGCCCGAUUAGUGUCGGAGAGAAGUUGUUGAGCAAGCUGCCUGGGAAGUACGGCCGCAAGACUGAAACUUAAAGGAAUUGGCGGGGGAGCACAGCAACGGGUGGAGCGUGCGGUUU